rnacentral:piRNA from 1 species
UGCAGGAUCUGCCACACCAAAACGUCCCCC